GCGCUGGUGGUUUAGUGGUUAGCACUCUCGCCUCACGCCUCCAGGAGUCCGGGGUUCGAUUCCCACUGGGGCG